GACGAACGCUGGCGGCGUGCCUAAUACAUGCAAGUCGAACGCUUCUUUCCUCCCGAGUGCUUGCACUCCAUUGGAAAGAGGAGUGGCGGACGGGUGAGUAACACGUGGGUAACCUACCCAUCAGAGGGGGAUAACACUUGGAAACAGGUGCUAAUACCGCAUAACAGUUUAUGCCGCAUGGCAUAAGAGUGAAAGGCGCUCUCGGGUGUCGUUGAUGGAUGGACCCGCGGUGCAUUAGCUAGUUGGUGAGGUAACGGCUCACCAAGGCCACGAUGCAUAGCCGACCUGAGAGGGUGAUCGGCCACACUGGGACUGAGACACGGCCCAGACUCCUACGGGAGGCAGCAGUAGGGAAUCUUCGGCAAUGGACGAAAGUCUGACCGAGCAACGCCGCGUGAGUGAAGAAGGUUUUCGGAUCGUAAAACUCUGUUGUUAGAGAAGAACAAGGACGUUAGUAACUGAACGUCCCCUGACGGUAUCUAACCAGAAAGCCACGGCUAACUACGUG
rnacentral:rRNA from 1 species